rnacentral:sRNA from 1 species
UUUUAGCCCUGAUGAAAUGGAAAUCCUUUGCUGAAGAAAGAUUGAAAUGUCUAGCAGGAUUAGCU